rnacentral:rRNA from 1 species
CCAGACUCCUACGGGAGGCAGCAGUGGGGAAUAUUGCACAAUGGGGGAAACCCUGAUGCAGCGACGCCGCGUGAGUGAAGAAGUAAUUCGUUAUGUAAAGCUCUAUCAGCAGGGAAGAAAAUGAUGGUACCUGAGUAAGAAGCCCCGGCUAACUACGUGCCAGCAGCCGCGGUAAUACGUAGGGGGCAAGCGUUAUCCGGAUUUACUGGGUGUAAAGGGAGCGUAGACGGCUGUGCAAGCCAGAUGUGAAAGCCCGGGGCUCAACCCCGGGACUGCAUUUGGAACUGCGUGGCUUGAGUGUCGGAGAGGCAGGCGGAAUUCCUAGUGUAGCGGUGAAAUGCGUAGAUAUUAGGAGGAACACCAGUGGCGAGGGCGGCCUGCUGGACGAUGACUGAC